rnacentral:rRNA from 1 species
UACGUAGGUGGCGAGCGUUGUCCGGAUUUACUGGGCGUAAAGAGCGCGCAGGCGGCUGGUCAAGUCCGAUGUGAAAGCUCCCGGCUUAACUGGGAAAUUGCAUCGGAAACUGAUCGGCUGGAAGGUGGGAGAGGGUAGCGGAAUUCCCGGUGUAGUGGUGAAAUGCGUAGAUAUCGGGAGGAAUACCAGUGGCGAAAGCGGCUACCUGGCCCAUUCUUGACGCUGAGGCGCGAAAGCUAGGGGAGCAAACGGG